UAAAAGGAAAUGUUCCAUGCUCUUACUACAAUGUAUGGGCAGGAAGAAAUUCCUGCACAAGGGUUUGUACCAGGCCUGCUGGGAACAUCAGAUGGAGCCCUGCAGUUCAUGGCCUACAAGAAACUGAAAAUGGACUUUACAAGCAUUUCCAUCGACCCAGUGACACAAAACCGGAAAGAAGAGUUCCAUGGAGUCUACUA